UACAGGGGGGGCAAGCGUUGUUCGGAAUUACUGGGCGUAAAGGGCUCGUAGGUGGCCAACUAAGUCGGACGUGAAAUCCCUCAGCUUAACUGGGGAACUGCGUCCGAUACUGGAUGGCUUGAGUUUGGGAGAGGGAUGCGGAAUUCCAGGUGUAGCGGUGAAAUGCGUAGAUAUCGGAAGGAACGCCGGUGGCGAAAGCGGCACGCUGGACCUUUUCUGACGCUGAGGCGCGAAAGCCAGGGGAGCGAACGGG
rnacentral:rRNA from 1 species